rnacentral:rRNA from 1 species
UGGGGAAUAUUGCGCAAUGGACGAAAGUCUGACGCAGCGACGCCGCGUGGGUGAUGAAGUUCUUCGGAACGUAAAACCCUGUCUGAUGGAACGAAAAAAAUGACGGUACCAUCGAAGGAAGCCCCGGCUAACUCCGUGCCAGCAGCCGCGGUAAUACGGGGGGGGCUAGCGUUAUUCGGAAUUACUGGGUGUAAAGGGCGCGUAGGCGGCCUAGCAAGUCAGGUGUGAAAUCCCUCGGCUCAACUGAGGAACUGCGCUUGAUACUGCAUGGCGUGAGUACAGGGGAGGUGGGCGGAAUUCCCGGUGUAGCGGUGAAAUGCGUAGAUAUCGGGAAGAACAUCGGUGGCGAAGGCGGCUCACUGGACUGUAACUGACGCUGAGGCGCGAAAGCGUGGGGAGCGAACG